GAGUUUGAUCCUGGCUCAGAACGAACGCUGGCGGCAGGCCUAACACAUGCAAGUCGAGCGCGCCUUUCGGGGUGAGCGGCGGACGGGUUAGUAACGCGUGGGAAUAUACCCUUUUCUACGGAAUAGCCUCUGGAAACGGAGAGUAAUACCGUAUGAGCCCUUCGGGGGAAAGAUUUAUCGGGAAAGGAUUAGCCCGCGUUAGAUUAGGUAGUUGGUGGGGUAAUGGCCUACCAAGCCUACGAUCUAUAGCUGGUUUUAGAGGAUGAUCAGCAACACUGGGACUGAGACACGGCCCAGACUCCUACGGGAGGCAGCAGUGGGGAAUCUUGGACAAUGGGGGCAACCCUGAUCCAGCCAUGCCGCGUGAGUGAUGAAGGCCUUAGGGUCGUAAAGCUCUUUCGCCUGUGAAGAUAAUGACGGUAGCAGGUAAAGAAACCCCGGCUAACUCCGUGCCAGCAGCCGCGGUAAUACGGAGGGGGUUAGCGUUGUUCGGAAUUACUGGGCGUAAAGCGCACGUAGGCGGACCAGAAAGUUGGGGGUGAAAUCCCGGGGCUCAACCCCGGAACUGCCUCCAAAACUAUUGGUCUAGAGUUCGAGAGAGGUGAGUGGAAUUCCAAGUGUAGAGGUGAAAUUCGUAGAUAUUUGGAGGAACACCAGUGGCGAAGGCGGCUCANCGGCUCGAUACUGACGCUGAGGUGCGAAAGUGUGGGGAGCAAACAGGAUUAGAUACCCUGGUAGUC
rnacentral:rRNA from 1 species